UUUAUGCGCUCACCAUUGGCCCCAGGGACUGCCAGUCGGCUCUGGGGUGGACGCCAACUUGAGGUCUCAUCCUCACUCAGCAUCUAUUGGCAAAUAGAAAGUUUCUUCCUUAUGAUUGGACAGGGGCCUGUCAGUAAGACUAAGGAAAAAGCCAAUGGAACAGGUGGGGCGUGUCUUGCCCCACCCUAGCCCUGAGCAGCAAUGUCUUUGCAACCCCGACCUGGAUGGGCCAUGGAUUCCGCCAAAACCACAAGUCCACCCCAGGCUGAGGGUUUCAAACAUCGCCCUGACCGAUACCCACACUGGCCCCUGCAGCUGCACGGUCUCCGCCUUCCUUGUGAGAACCUCUGGGAGACAGACUGUUCCUCUCAGCCACUUACUGCAACCCAAGCCUGAUGUCCGGCAAACAGCAGACCAAAAGUGACAGCCAUCAAAACUGCUGCGUGUCCUCAGCAGCUACUGAGUGCCAGCUGCAUACUUGGUGCUCUAAAUCAUCUCCUUUAAUCGUCACCACAAUAAAAGUCAGCUGAUGGGUGAA